UACGUAGGGCGCAAGCGUUAUCCGGAAUUAUUGGGCGUAAAGAGCUCGUAGGCGGUCUGUCACGUCGGAUGUGAAAGCCCGGGGCUUAACCCCGGGUCUGCAUUCGAUACGGGCAGACUAGAGUGUGGUAGGGGAGAUCGGAAUUCCUGGUGUAGCGGUGAAAUGCGCAGAUAUCAGGAGGAACACCGGUGGCGAAGGCGGAUCUCUGGGCCAUUACUGACGCUGAGGAGCGAAAGCGUGGGGAGCGAACAGG
rnacentral:rRNA from 1 species